rnacentral:rRNA from 1 species
CCUACGGGAGGCAGCAGUGGGGAAUAUUGCACAAUGGGGGAAACCCUGAUGCAGCGACGCCGCGUGAGUGAAGAAGCGCCUCGGCGCGUAAAGCUCUGUCAGCAGGAACGAUAAUGACGGUACCUGAAGAAGAAGCCCCGGCUAACUACGUGCCAGCAGCCGCGGUGAUCCGGAGGGGGCAAGCGUUAUCCGGAUUUAAUGGGUGUAAAGGGGGCGUAGACGGCGGGGCGAGUCUGGAGUGAAAGGCCGGGGCCCAACCCCGGGAACGCUCUGGAAACUGCCCGGCUGGAGUGCGGGAGAGGUAAGCGGAAUGCCUAGUGUAGCGGUGAAAUGCGUAGAUAUUAGUAGGAACACCGGCGGCGAAGGCGGCCUGCUGGACCGUAACUGACGUUGAGGCUCGAAAGCGUGGGGAGCAAACAGGAUUAGAUACCCGAGUAGUC